rnacentral:rRNA from 1 species
AUUGAACGCUGGCGGCAGGCUUAACACAUGCAAGUCGAGCGGGGGGAGGUAGCUUGCUACCUAACCUAGCGGCGGACGGGUGAGUAAUGCUUAGGAAUCUGCCUAUUAGUGGGGGACAACAUUUCGAAAGGGAUGCUAAUACCGCAUACGCCCUAAGGGGGAAAGCAGGGGAUCUUCGGACCUUGCGCUAAUAGAUGAGCCUAAGUCGGAUUAGCUAGUUGGUGGGGUAAAGGCCUACCAAGGCGACGAUCUGUAGCGGGUCUGAGAGGAUGCUCCGCCACACUGGGACUGGGACACGGCCCAGACUCCUACGGGAGGCAGCAGUGGGGAAUAUUGGACAAUGGGGGGAACCCUGAUCCAGCCAUGCCGCGUGUGUGAAGAAGGCCUUUUGGUUGUAAAGCUCUUUAAGCGAGGAGGAGGCUACCGAGAUUAAUACUCUUGGAUAGUGGACGUUACUCGCAGAAUAAGCACCGGCUAACUCUGUGCCAGCCGCCGCGGUAAGAC